CGCGACUGGUUAGAUCUUGUCGUGAUCUCUGGAAAACUGUGACUAUCUCACAUGUCCUGCCCAGCUCGGAUCCCCUGCGCUAACGAGCCAGGCCCCCCUUGAUUGCUGAUUUUACGCUUUUUGGACCAAUUGUGGGUCUCCGGGGGCGGGGUUUUGACAGCUCAGGCCAAGCUCCGGCCGGGAGGGGGGGCCUGGGAGAAGGUGUCGGAAGCCUCAGCAGUAAGAAAACAUGUCAACAGAAUAAAAUAUUAACCAAUGACGGGCCGCCGGGCCCCGAGACCCCUCCUCCUGCCCCGGCCCCCACCGCCCGCCCGCGCCUGCGGCUGCCUGCGCCGGACUGGAGAGCGCGGAGGGCCGACCUGACCCGCCGAAAGGGCCUGAGGCGAGGGGAGCCCGGGUCCCGGGGCCUUGGGGAAGGACCCGCAGCCGCACGCCGGCCCCAAGUGCAAAGCAUUGACACGACCCCGAGCGGAGAGGGGGCGCCCUCCUUCUCCCGCGCCCAGAGGCCCGGCCGCUCUGGCCCGAGCCCCAGCCUGGCCUCCGACCCAGCUCCGGGUCGUGGCGCCGCCUGGGGGUCCCUGCGCCCCGGAAAGAGACAGCAGGCACUGGAAAGCGAGGCCGGUGGGCGGGCGAGUCGGGAGGCUCGGGCGGCCGAGGUCCGGGAGCGGAUCCCAGGUGGCGGGAGCUGGUGAGUGGAGCCAUGGCCGAGCCCUGCUGGGGCCGGCGCGGGCGGGAGCGGGACGCGGCCUUGCGCUGGGGAAACGCGGGGACCCCCUACCCGCGCCCGCCUUCACCGGAAGACUCGGAAGGAACCUGGAGUUCUCCGCAGGCCCGGGCCCCGCCCUGAGCUUUCCAGCGGCCGGGAGGAGCGGAUCCUCGGGGCCAGGAAGGUGCCCUGGCAGGAGGGACUGGCUUAUGCCACCCUGUGCAGGAUCGUCUUCUCAGCUUACAGAGCCUAGUGUGAUUCAACAACCCUCCAUCUCUGCCCCCAACAUGCCCAACUGAUCUGGUGGAGGGAACUGAAGAUGAAGGCCUCUCAGGCACCAUGGAUGGGAUGGGUGUGUGUGAAGGGGGCAGGGUCCCCAGGAGCUGCCCCAGGUCUGGCUGGACAGUUGCACGGGAAGUCCUGUUUGUGAACUCAACGUUUCCACGGCUUUUCCAUUAAACUUUACCCCAAAUCACAC
rnacentral:lncRNA from 1 species